GAUGAACGCUGGCGGCGUGCUUAACACAUGCAAGUCGAACGAUGAAGCCCACUUGUGGGUGGAUUAGUGGCGAACGGGUGAGUAACACGUGAGUAACCUGCCCUUGACUCUGGGAUAAGCCUGGGAAACUGGGUCUAAUACCGGAUAUGACCUUCCAUCGCAUGGUGGUUGGUGGAAAGCUUUUGUGGUUUUGGAUGGACUCGCGGCCUAUCAGCUUGUUGGUGGGGUAAUGGCCUACCAAGGCGACGACGGGUAGCCGGCCUGAGAGGGUGACCGGCCACACUGGGACUGAGACACGGCCCAGACUCCUACGGGAGGCAGCAGUGGGGAAUAUUGCACAAUGGGCGCAAGCCUGAUGCAGCGACGCCGCGUGAGGGAUGACGGCCUUCGGGUUGUAGACCUCUUUCAGUAGGGAAGAAGCGUAAGUGACGGUACCUGCAGAAGAAGCGCCGGCUAACUACGUGCCAGCAGCCGCCGUAAAAC
rnacentral:rRNA from 1 species